CCUACGGGCGGCAGCAGUGGGGAAUAUUGGACAAUGGGGGGAACCCUGAUCCAGCCAUGCCGCGUGUGUGAAGAAGGCCCUCGGGUUGUAAAGCACUUUCAGUGAGGAAGAACGCCUGGUGGUUAAUACCCAUCAGGAAAGACAUCACUCACAGAAGAAGCACCGGCUAACUCCGUGCCAGCAGCCGCGGUAAUACGGAGGGUGUGAGCGUUAAUCGGAAUUACUGGGCGUAAAGCGCGCGUAGGUGGCUUGAUAAGCCGGUUGUGAAAGCCCCGGGCUCAACCUGGGAACGGCAUCCGGAACUGUCAAGCUAGAGUGCAGGAGAGGAAGGUAGAAUUCCCGGUGUAGCGGUGAAAUGCGUAGAGAUCGGGAGGAAUACCAGUGGCGAAGGCGGCCUUCUGGACUGACACUGACACUGAGGUGCGAAAGCGUGGGUAGCAAACAGGAUUAGAUACCCGUGUAGUC
rnacentral:rRNA from 1 species